rnacentral:tRNA from 1 species
GCCGUCGUGGUGAAAUUGGAAAGCACGUCCGGCUGGCAGUCUGAAGAUAUGGAGUUCGAAUCUCAGCGACAGCA